rnacentral:rRNA from 1 species
UGGAGCUGAAAUCAGUCGAAGAUACCAGCUGGCUGCAACUGUUUAUUAAAAACACAGCACUGUGCAAACACGAAAGUGGACGUAUACGGUGUGACGCCUGCCCGGUGCCGGAAGGUUAAUUGAUGGGGUUAGCGGUAACGCGAAGCUCUUGAUCGAAGCCCCGGUAAACGGCGGCCGUAACUAUAACGGUCCUAAGGUAGCGAAAUUCCUUGUCGGGUAAGUUCCGACCUGCACGAAUGGCGUAAUGAUGGCCAGGCUGUCUCCACCCGAGACUCAGUGAAAUUGAACUCGCUGUGAAGAUGCAGUGUACCCGCGGCAAGACGGAAAGACCCCGUGAACCUUUACUAUAGCUUGACACUGAACAUUGAGCCUUGAUGUGUAGGAUAGGUGGGAGGCUUAGAAGUGUGGACGCCAGUCUGCAUGGAGCCGAUCUUGAAAUACCACCCUUUAAUGUUUGAUGUUCUAACGUUGACCCGUAAUCCGGGUUGCGGACAGUGUCUGGUGGGUAGUUUGACUGGGGCGGUCUCCUCCUAAAGAGUAACGGAGGAGCACGAAGGUUGGCUAAUCCUGGUCGGACAUCAGGAGGUUAGUGCAAUGGCAUAAGCCAGCUUGACUGCGAGCGUGACGGCGCGAGCAGGUGCGAAAGCAGGUCAUAGUGAUCCGGUGGUUCUGAAUGGAAGGGCCAUCGCUCAACGGAUAAAAGGUACUCCGGGGAUAACAGGCUGAUACCGCCCAAGAGUUCAUAUCGACGGCGGUGUUUGGCACCUCGAUGUCGGCUCAUCACAUCCUGGGGCUGAAGUAGGUCCCAAGGGUAUGGCUGUUCGCCAUUUAAAGUGGUACGCGAGCUGGGUUUAGAACGUCGUGAGACAGUUCGGUCCCUAUCUGCCGUGGGCGCUGGAGAACUGAGGGGGGCUGCUCCUAGUACGAGAGGACCGGAGUGGACGCAUCACUGGUGUUCGGGUUGUCAUGCCAAUGGCACUGCCCGGUAGCUAAAUGCGGAAGAGAUAAGUGCUGAAAGCAUCUAAGCACGAAACUUGCCCCGAGAUGAGUUCUCCCUGACUCCUUGAGAGUCCUGAAGGAACGUUGAAGACGACGACGUUGAUAGGCCGGGUGUGUAAGCGCAGCGAUGCGUUGAGCUAACCGGUACUAAUGAACCGUGAGGCUUAACCUU